AUGACAGGAAGUAGGUGAUCAGGAAGUGCAGGAACAAUAGCCUUUUCCUGGAAGAGUGGCUCUGAAGUGAUGACUAAACGUUCAGACAUGCUGGGCUUAAGCAGCAGAGGCUGAGGCCAUGGCCACAGCGGAGAGGGGCCAGAGGGAACUUACGAGAUGGGCAGUCUAGUUGAAGUGUGUUAUUGACUACUCCCUACUUGGUGAAAAUAAGUGAGAGAUUAUGGCAAGGUUACACUGGACCCAAAGAGCAUCAAGUUGUUACUUGGUGAAAACUGCUACCUGGACAGAAGCCUCUAAACCGUUCUUAGUAUCAGGCAGGAACAGCCAACAGCCUUUGUUUGCUUCAGUAAACAUCCUAGAGGUUAUUGAAACCUCUUAAAAAUGAUCGCUCCACCAGAAGACAGCGCAGGUCCAUGGGUCUGUUGGUCUUCCGUCUUUUAAUCCCCUGAAUUCUGUGUUUUGAAAGACUUUGUGUGACUAGCAGCAUUUAUUAAGCCAAGAGUUGUUUUUCUCUUUAUAAUGAAUCAGAAUUUAUAAAAGAAAUAAACCUACCCCUCUGAAUGUCUUAUCAGCCUGACGUAACCAGUGUUAUCACACUGUAGUUUGGGGCAUGAGCAGAUGCAUAAUGUUAAGCUAUGCAAGGCCACCUUCUCAUCAGCCAACCCAUGAUUUUUCCUGGGCCUUGUGAAAUGCUGAAAAACCCUCUGAAGCCCCUCUUUCUAGCUCCUCAGACCCUGUAGUGAACCAGGAGCCUCUGUGUCUGUUUUGCAGGCAUUCCUAGGAAAGGAGGAGAUUCUUUUCUAAUGGAGCAUCAGAUUCAAGGAACAUUAAUGUUUUUAUUUCUUUGACAAAUAUUUAAAGAUGAGAAAGAAGAAAAUAUUCAUAUGACCAUUUAGACAAAUUAUAUAAGAAGAGUGCCUUCUUUACCUCUCUCAAUCCAAGUCCUUGAGGUACGGCUGUAAAAAAAGGUAUAUAUUCUUCUCAUUUAUUUUUUGAUUGUGCAAUACACACACACACACACACACACACACACACAUAUAUCCCUGUUUUCUUAAACAGAGUAAGAUACAGUUUGCUGGUUUUUAUUUGAUUUUCUACAUCAGCACUUAGAAUUAUUCUUUUAUAAAAAUGGUUACAAAAUAGUUGACAUUGAGCAAAGUUUAUAAUAUGCUGUUUAUUCUUCAAAGCAUCUCCAAGCCUUAACUCACUUUAAUCCUCAAAACGACCUCUGAGGUCACCACUUUUCUCAUUCCCAUUUUACAAAGGGAAAGGAUGAGGCCUUCAGAGGCCGAGUGAUUGGCCCAGGAUCAUACAACAUUCAUGCAGCCAGGACCCCAGCUCAGGUAGUUUGACUCUGCACAUAGUAUUGCCUUGCUCACAUUCGCAGCCACUGUGCCAUGGAGGGACAGCCUAGUCAGCCUUUCCAGUUGUUUUCUUCUUUGUUAUUUCAGUGCUUAAUGAAUACCUCUGCAUACAUCUUUCUGUCCUUUUGCUUUUCUGCUGGAGGUGUCAUCUCAUAGAAAUGGGAUUUCUGGGUCAAAGAAUAGAUGUAUAUAAAACUUCAUUUAGUUUUUUAAGCACCUGCUAGGUGACAAACAUAUUUUCUCAUUCACCAUCAAAUGGAACCUUCACAGCAAUCUCAUACAUGUGUAUCGUGAUUGUCCUCCUAAAUAGUAAAGGCUAAGCGAUUUGUCCUGAAUCCCACAGCUAAUCAGUACAUGAAAUCUUAACCCUGGUCUCCCAGUUCCACAUCUUGUGUGAAUUCUACGGUACACAAAUUUUUAGUGCUAUAAUCACAAUGAUUUUUUUUUAUGUGUUGAUUUCUUCUUGGGAGCCAGAAUUUAAGAUUAAACUUACACCAAGCCAGUCACUGCCAUAGGGUCCCUGUUGUCUCUGUUAGAGAGGGGUUUGUGCUUCUAGAAAAAACAAGUAUUUCUUUCGAAUUCAAUAUUACUAGAAUGUGUUGAUCUUGAAAAAUGAUUCCUAUAGCUUUUUUUCUUCUAGUUUUAUUUAUGUUUUAUUUUUAUUUUUUGCUUUUUAGGGCCACACUCGCGGUAUAUGGAGGUUCCCAGGCUAGGGGUCAAAUCGGAGAUGUAGCCACUGGCUUACACCACAGCCACAGCAAUGCAGGAUCCGAGCCAGGUCUGCAACCUACAGCACAGCUCACGGCAUGCCAGAUCCUUAACUCACUGAAGGGGGCCAGGGAUCCAACCCGCAACCUCAUGGCUACCAGUCGGAUUUGUUUCUGCUGUGCCACAACAGGAACUCCUCUGGUUUUAUUGAGAUAUAAUUGACAUACAGCUCUGUGUAAGUUUAAGGUGUAUAGCAUAAUGACUUGACUUACAAAUGAAUGAUUUGAAGUGAAAUGAUUACUAGAAGUUUAGUGAACAUACAUCAUCUCAUAUAAAUAUAAAAUAAAAGGAAAAACAUUUUUUCCUUUUUUUUUUUUUGUCUUUUUGCUAUUUCUUGGGCCGCUCCCGCGGCAUAUGGAGGUUCCCAGGCUAGGGGUUGAAUCGGAGCUGUAGCCACCGGCCUACGCCAGAGCCACAGCAACUCGGGAUCCGAGCCAAGUCUGCAACCUACACCCCAGCUCACGGCAACGCCGGAUCAUUAACCCACUGAGCAAGGGCAGGGACCGAACCCGCAACCUCAUGGUUCCUAGUCAGAUUUGUUAACCACUGGGCCACGACGGGAACUCCCAUUUUUUCCUUAUGAUGAGAACUCUUAGGAUUUAUUCUAUUAAUGGCUUUCAUAUAUAAUAUAUAAUAGUAUUGAUUAUAUUAAUCAUUUUGUACAUUAUAUCCCUAGUAUUUAUCUUUUAAUGGGCAGUUGGUACCUUUUGACCACUUUCAUCCAAUCCUUUCUAUAGUCAUUCCUUUUUCUAAUGUUUUAGCAUGCCUUAAAGAGUAUAGUCUAUAGAAUCUUUUCUUAAGUGUUUGCUAAGUGGACUUUCUAAAAAGAGAAUCCUAGCUUUACUUAAAAAUAUAGUCUGGUCAAGGAACAACAGGUUAGGCAAAGUAUGGAUUUUCUAGGUUUCUUCUUUCUUCUCUUCAUUUUUGUGUCAUGUCACUGCUCUGCUAUUUAUCAAUAACUUAACCUUGGGCAAGUUAAGCCAAAUUUCCUCAUCGGGUAAAUGGGGAUAACAGAAGUAUCCCUUUCUGUGGAAUUACUGUAAGGAUUGAACCAAACCUUGCCCAGCAUUUGACAGUGCGCCUGGCACAUGAGAGGCCUGAAUCAAUGUUAGCAGGGAGCAGUAGCAACAGCCCAAGACGUCAAGAGUGGAUAGUCUGUUAGCAAUCAAACUGGGCUCAAUAUGCAAAAGUUUUCUGAAAGAGUUAUGGAGAAGGCUUCUAAUGAUUAAAACAAGGUUAUUUGGCAGCUGGAGCGAAUAGGGUGAGAAGAGUCUAACAUGAAAUAAAACUGAUCACCAAGCGGAUGCCACAGGCAGCUCCAUCUCAGUCGCCUUCCUUUGGAAAACUCCCUCCUUGUCCCCCUCCAGCAUCUCUGACCAGCUACCAUCCUGCAUCCUCCUGUCGUCAAGGGUCUAUCUUCAGCCUUGGCCAUUUCUCAUCAACAGCCUUUCCCUGGGGAAUCUGUUUAUGCUUGGGCGGUUGCAGAAACUUACAGAAAAAUUAGGAUGGAGAAGAAAGAAGUGAUUUUAUGUUAUGAGGAUGGGAGGGAAGUAGGUUGGGAAUGCUGGCUAACUUGGAGGUGGGGGUAGAGCAGGAAGGCAUUCAACUUAAAACGUCACCUUGUGGACUUGAUUUUCACCAUUGGCUUUUUGAAUUCUUGGUUAAUUGCGUCUUUUUGCCAACAUGAUAAAAUGCUCCCCUUUUGCAUUGGGGGGUAAGUUGAUAUGAAUUAAUCAGACUCUGUGAAGUGUGUUGAGGAGUAUAUGACCUAUCUAGGUAUGUGUGGGAGCAGUUCCACCAGAUGUGAAAGUCAAAUUCGUCAGUAUAGUUGCUCCCUGCGGUGGUGGGGAAGGUUUAUCUGAGAAAAAGGCCAGGUCUGUUGGCUGAAACAAGGCUUUGGGUUUUAUCCAUGGUCCCAUAUUCUGUGCAUUUAAUAAUUAAGACUUGGCUCUAUACCAGCAAUGUGGAAGCCUCCGAAUUACUAUGUGGGAGUCUGGGUGAAUAAUGUUUUGAUGCUUACUAUUACCUGGAGAUAACUAUUGGGUCUGUAAGACUAGCCAAGAAAUCUCAUGAAGAGUGUUCCUUUGAUGAUAUACUGGCUCCUGUUUUAUUGUAUUUGGUGCAAUGAUCUAAUGAAAAUAAUUUUUACUUUUCUGGUUUAUUUGUGAGUUCGACUGAGAAACUAAGGACCUUAAUACUGAUGAAAGGACCAGAGAAAAAAUGAAUGAAUAAAAGCCUCCCCAGGCUCUGAGUGAAGAAUGCUUUAGAGACCUCUGUGGUCUGGCCUGCCCAGUGCCCUUCUCUAUAGAGUCCAUAUUUUUGUUUUGGAAAAUCACAUCUCCCUGACACUGAUCCUAUGGUUUGGAUGGCAAUGUCACUACCCUCUGGCUCUAGUGGGAACUCAGUUUCAACCAAUGAGAACACCACAUCCCUCCAGUCAUAAUAACUUAUUCUGGGAUUGGCCAAUGCCGGAGCGAACAGAGACAACCCUGAGCCUCUUGCUCAAAUCCUCGGGAGAUCAUUUCUUUCUGUUGGGGUAGCUAAGCUGGCAGCAUAUCCAUCCAGAGCUGCUGGAAGACAUCUUGCUACCACAGAAGGAGAGCCUGCCAGAGAAGAAAGCCAUCAUCAAGGAAAGCAGAGCCUGGGAUGGCUACUGAUUCCUGAUGACACCACAUGAGUGACUGGAUCCAGCCACACCUGAAGCCAGAACUGCUUGGAUGUUUGUUAUAUGUACAAAUAAAAAGCUUUUUGUUAUUGUUGUU
rnacentral:lncRNA from 1 species